AGUGAACGCUGGCGGUAGGCCUAACACAUGCAAGUCGAACGGCAGCACAGAGGAGCUUGCUCCUUGGGUGGCGAGUGGCGGACGGGUGAGGAAUACAUCGGAAUCUACUUUUUCGUGGGGGAUAACGUAGGGAAACUUACGCUAAUACCGCAUACGACCUACGGGUGAAAGCAGGGGAUCUUCGGACCUUGCGCGAUUGAAUGAGCCGAUGUCGGAUUAGCUAGUUGGCGGGGUAAAGGCCCACCAGGGCGACGAUCCGUAGCUGGUCUGAGAGGAUGAUCAGCCACACUGGAACUGAGACACGAUCCAGACUCCUACGGGAGGCAGCAGUGGGGAAUAUUGGACAAUGGGCGCAAGCCUGAUCCAGCCAUACCGCGUGGGUGAAGAAGGCCUUCGGGUUGUAAAGCCCUUUUGUUGGGAAAGAAAUCCAGCUGGUUAAUACCCGGUUGGGAUGACGGUACCCAAAGAAUAAGCACCGGCUAACUUCGUGCCAGCCGCCGCAGUAA
rnacentral:rRNA from 1 species